CCAAAGGUGGCUCCAGAGCUUUCCUUCCUGUGCUGCAAAUUAUAUCCUCUUGCUAGGCCUGCCGGAGAACCCCAAAGACGUGAGCUAAAAAUAAGCAUCCAGGUAGUUUAGGAAGACCUCCUUUGAAAUUACCCCUCUGGGGAGAAAUGCAAAUAGCCCUAGGGCCUCUGGGAAUUGCCAGAAAAAGAAGAGCCCCUGAGGCUGCUCACUGCCCGAAGAAUGGUCUUCUUCGCAGAGUAGGAGAAAAUUGCCACUGAUGUCAAGAUUUUACUUGCAACACAUACGACUGCAGGAGAGAAGCCACCUUGAUUUCCAGUGUUUCCAAGUCCAGAAAUGCCAGUGAAUAGAUUCACUGGCCAGGCUUAGGCACCGAGUCAUGGCUGCUCCUGCACCCUUGGAUGGAAGUGGGAGAAUAAGGACAUGAGGAAGUAUUCAAGGGAUUUCCCAGAAUAGAGAUGCUGUGUUAUAACCCCUGAGUAUCUAAAAGGUAGACCUUCCUACUUCUCUCCAUCUCUUAGGGGUAUAGGUCGUCGGUUCUGCUUUAAACUUAUCCUGACUUAGCACCAUUCUCUGUAAUAACUCUACCCUCAACUCCUAUGGUGAACUCAAGAAAAUGACUUUUAUCAGAAGUGAGAAUGCCUCAGUGUGUUGCCUUCUGUGUUACGUGAACUCUGUAAGAGAGUGUCAAAAGUAGGAUGCCCAAGUAUAAGCAUAUUUUUAAUGAAUAAAUUUGACCAGUUAUUUUCCAAAAAGAUUGCAGCUAAUUGUACUUCCAUGAACAAAGUGUCAGAAAAUGCCAUUUCCCUAUACACUUAUGGGCAUUGGACAUCAUUAAUCUUUUUAAUAUUCAUCAGUCUGAUAGGUCAUAAAUGGCAUAUUGUUUUGUUUGCAUUUUCCUGACUACUAAUAAGACUGUACAUCUUCUAUAAUUGUGAUCCACCUUCCUUUGUUCUCAAAUAAAUUGCCUGUUCCUA